GUUAUUAAAGUUUGGAAGGUCAAAAUUACAGGUCAAGGUCACAAUAGAUAAAAAACUACCUUUCUAUAUAUUACAGUCUACACUUAACAAUUUAUAUUAAUAUUAAUAUUCCAUGACCAACAAUUAAAGAUUAUUAAAUUUGAUUGACCAUGUGCCCCAUUUUGACUGACAGACUAGAAGCACUCUGGAUGGCAUGCAAGCCUGAUUAAUGGGCUUGCCACCUGAAGCCUAUGAUGAUGUUUUGCAGUUGGAGUGAAGAAUAAUACCCGAUUCACACGUGAAGUUAAAUUUAACAAAAAGUAACAAAUUGUAACCGAGCGAUCUCCCGAGUUAUUCCUACCGAGAUAAAAAGCAUUCACACGCGUCUGUAAGGAUUUAGUAUGAAAGAAUACAAAACAAUAUAUGAAAAAGGGGAUUCUAUUUAAUUUUCAGAUGGAGCCAACACACUGUCGAGUGACAACGGUCAUCAAACGUUUAAAUGAAUUCCAUGAUGAACUUGAACAAGAGUUUGCGUCAUUACAAGUAGCUUUUGCAGAAAACGACCGCCGACGUAUGCAUCACCAACUAAAAAAUUUGCCAUGCAUCAGACAUCUCGGC